rnacentral:rRNA from 1 species
GAUGAACGCUGGCGGCGUGCUUAACACAUGCAAGUCGAACGGUGAAGGCGGAGCUUGCUCUGCUGGAUCAGUGGCGAACGGGUGAGUAACACGUGAGCAAUCUGCCCCUGACUCUGGGAUAAGCGCUGGAAACGGCGUCUAAUACUGGAUACGAGCUGCGAAGGCAUCUUCAGCAGCUGGAAAGAAUUUCGGUCAGGGAUGAGCUCGCGGCCUAUCAGCUUGUUGGUGAGGUAAUGGCUCACCAAGGCGUCGACGGGUAGCCGGCCUGAGAGGGUGACCGGCCACACUGGGACUGAGACACGGCCCAGACUCCUACGGGAGGCAGCAGUGGGGAAUAUUGCACAAUGGGCGAAAGCCUGAUGCAGCAACGCCGCGUGAGGGACGACGGCCUUCGGGUUGAAAACCUCUUUUAGCAGGGAAGAAGCGAAAGUGACGGUACCUGCAGAAAAAGCGCCGGCUAACUACGUG